rnacentral:lncRNA from 1 species
CGACCUGAAGGCGGACAACGCCACUAUAGUGCGGACAGGCCCCAGCGGAAAUAUUACAAGGCAGAAGAUUGCGCAACACCUUGCCGGACGUGGGGACCGGACCGGACCACGCCAUCAAGAAGCGCUCCUAGACCAACCGUCCCGCAGGACUGCUGCCGCCGCUCGAAACAGGGGCCACGGUUCG